rnacentral:sRNA from 1 species
GUCAGCAAUAGUUACCUGUCAACCGGU